CCUACGGGGGGCAGCAGUGGGGAAUCUUAGACAACGGGGGCAACCCUGAUCUAGCCAUGCCGCGUGAGUGACGAAGGCCUUAGGGUCGUAAAGCUCCUUCGCUGGGGAAGAUAAUGACGGUACCCAGUAAAGAAACCCCGGCUAACUCCGUGCCAGCAGCCGCGGUAAUACGGAGGGGUUUAGCGUUGUUCGGAAUUACUGGGCGUAAAGCGCGCGUAGGCGGAUUGGAAAGUUGGGGGUGAAAUCCCGGGGCUCAGCCCCGGAACUGCCUCCAAAACUAUCAGUCUAGAGUUCGAGAGAGGUGAGUGGAAUUCCGAGUGUAGAGGUGAAAUACGUAGAUAUUCGGAGGAACACCAGUGGCGAAGGCGGCUCACUGGCUCGAUACUGACGCUGAGGUGCGAAAGCGUGGGGAGCAAACAGGAUUAGAUACCCUAGUAGUC
rnacentral:rRNA from 1 species